rnacentral:rRNA from 1 species
GACGAACGCUGGCGGCGUGCUUAACACAUGCAAGUCGAACGAGUGGCGAACGGGUGAGUAAUACGUGGGUAACCUGCCCUCUUUUUGGGAUAAGCCUUGGACCCGGGGUAUAAUACCGAAUAAAGGGGGAUGGGCUCGCGGCAUAUCAGCUUGUUGGUGGGGUGAUGGCCUACCAAGGCGGUGAUGGGUAGCGAGCCUGAGAGGGUGACCGGGCACAUGGAGACUGAGAAACGUCCCAGAAUCCUACGGGAGGCAGCAGUGGGCGAUAUUGCACAACGGGCGAAAGCCAGAUGCGGCGACGCCGCGUAGGGGAUGAAGGCUUUCGGGUUGGAAACCUCGUUCGCUAUCGAAGGGGUAGCUGGAGAAGAAGCGCCGGCUAACUACGUGCCAGCAGCCGCGGUAAUUC